UUAUACAUAAGAAAACACACAUUUGAUUUUAUAUUAUCUCAAUGCCAGUACUCCACUGCUCUGCACAAGGACAAAAUGAAAGGUAGAAACUGAAAAUGCACCCUCACAGAAAUAACAUCAUAUAGGCAAAAUCUCAUCCUGAAUCUCAGCAGUCCAUUCCAAAAUCUCAGCAGUCCAUUCCAAAAUCUCAACAGCCCAGCAACAGCAACAAAAUCUCAACAACAGCAAAAUCUCAUCCUGAAAUGCAAAAUGUGAUUAGGUGAAUACCUGCAAGAAUAACUAUCAUUAUCAUUUGGUUCAUUUUAACAUGCCUACUUGGAUUUCAUUUUCAAAAGCACAAAGCAGUUCAAAAGAUUUACAUUUUCAAAAGCUUGGGCACACAUAAGUUCAAAAGCUUGGGCACAUAUAUAUGAAGCACAUAAGUGAUCAUUAUCCAGUUAUCCAUCCACAGUUGAUUCAGGAAGAAAUGAAAAUGAAGCUUGGGCAUACAUAAGUUUAAAAAACCAUAGAAAAAGGCCAUAGAUUAUCCAUCCACACUUCAGUAGAUAAUUUUUUUUUUCAUUGGCUGCCAUUUUUUUCUUCAAAUUAGUACAAUUUAGACUUAGAACCAAACUGAAACAAAAUGGAAGCAGCGAAUUUCAUAAGGAGGCGAAUUUCAUAAGGAAGGGUUCUAAGUCACACUAGUAGUUUUUUAAGACCCGUUCAAUUCCUUCUGACCCGUUCAAUUUCUAUAAAUAAAUAACUACAAAAAGCAUAUGCUCAAAAACCCUAGAUUUCUUUCAAAUCAAACUGAAAUUACAAGAUUCAUAUGUUCAAUCUUUACCUCUAUGUUUACAACAAGGUCUGUUCGAUUGCUUCAGAUUCGCUUUAACAGAGAGGGAAUUUGUGGAGAUUGCUCAGAAUCGGGGAGAGAGAAACGGCAGGAUUUGGGGAUAUCCAGCCUUCCGACGAUCCAGCCUCAAACUACUCAGAAUCGAAGAGAGAGAAAAGGCAGGAUUUGGGGAGAGAGCAUCGGGGAGAGAGAGAGGGAUUCGGUGUUUAUCAUCUCAGAAUUCAGUUUCC
rnacentral:lncRNA from 1 species